rnacentral:rRNA from 1 species
UGGGGAAUUUUGCACAAUGGAGGGAACUCUGAUGCAGCGACGCCGCGUGAACGAAGAAGGUUUUCGAAUCGUAAAGUUCUGUCCUGGGUGAAGAUAAUGACGGUAAUCCAGGAGGAAGCCCCGGCUAACUACGUGCCAGCAGCCGCGGUAAUACGUAAGGUCCGAGCGUUGUCCGGAAUCAUUGGGCGUAAAGGGUACGUAGGCGGGUAAGCAAGUUAGAAGUGAAAUCCUGUAGCUCAACUACAGUAAGCUUUUAAAACUGCUCAUCUUGAGAUAUGGAAGGGAAAGUGGAAUUCCUAGUGUAGCGGUGAAAUGCGCAGAUAUUAGGAGGAAUACCGGUGGCGAAGGCGACUCUCUGGUCUGUAACUGACGCUGAGGUUCGAAAGCGUGGGUAGCAAACAGG